GUCUUUUUGAAUUUAAUUUAAAGUCUGGUCUGCCCAUUGAUUAAUAUAUUUAACGGCCGCAGUAUUUUAACUGUGCAAAGGUAGCAUAAUCAUUAGUUUUUUAAUUGAAAGCUUGUAUGAAUGAUUGGACGAGGUAUAAGCUGUCUCAAAGAAAUUUUUGUAGAAUUUAAUUUUUUAGUUAAAAAGCUAAAAUGAUUUUAAAAGACGAGAAGACCCUAUAGAUCUUUAUAUUGAUUUUUGUAAUUUUUUUGUAGAAAUUUUGAAAAUUUAUAAAGAAAAAUAUUUUAUUGGGGUGAUGCUGAAAUUUUAUAAACUUUCAGAAUUUUUUUCCAUUGAUUUAUGAAUUAAUGAUCCUUUAUUAUGGAUUAGAAGUUUAAGUUACCUUAGGGAUAACAGCGUAAUUAUUUUGGAGAGUUCUUAUCGAUAAAAUAGAUUGCGACCUCGAUGUUGGAUUAAGAUUAAUUUAGGUGUAGAAGCUUGAAGUAUUAAGUCUGUUCGACUUUUAAUUUCUU
rnacentral:rRNA from 1 species